rnacentral:rRNA from 1 species
CCUACGGGCGGCUGCAGUGGGGAAUAUUGCACAAUGGGCGCAAGCCUGAUGCAGCCAUGCCGCGUGUGUGAAGAAGGCCUUCGGGUUGUAAAGCACUUUCAGCGGGGAGGAAGGCGGUGAGGUUAAUAACCUCAUCGAUUGACGUUACCCGCAGAAGAAGCACCGGCUAACUCCGUGCCAGCAGCCGCGGUAAUACGGAGGGUGCAAGCGUUAAUCGGAAUUACUGGGCGUAAAGCGCACGCAGGCGGUCUGUCAAGUCGGAUGUGAAAUCCCCGGGCUCAACCUGGGAACUGCAUUCGAAACUGGCAGGCUAGAGUCGUGUAGAGGGGGGUAGAAUUCCAGGCGUAGCGGUGAAAUGCGUAGAGAUCUGGAGGAAUACCGGUGGCGAAGGCGGCCCCCUGGACAAAGACUGACGCUCAGGUGCGAAAGCGUGGGGAGCAAACAGGAUUAGAUACCCGUGUAGUC